rnacentral:tRNA from 1 species
GCCAGUUUGGUCUAGUGGGUGAAGGCCUCAGGCUAGAAACCAGGAGGCUGUGAGUUCUAAUCCCACCAUAGGCA